rnacentral:rRNA from 1 species
AUGGCGCGGCGCGGCGGCAUGGUGGUGGUAGGCUGCUGCCUCCUGGUGGCACUCGCGCUGGCGUGCGGCGUGGCGUCGGCGCAACCCUCGGAGAAUGGUCCGCCCACGAAGCUCCCGCCCAAGGCCACGUUCCAGACCAUCACCAUCCCCAAAAACAGCACCAAGAGGCUGUACGCGGUCACCUGCCGCGAGAGGCGCGGAAAGCCUUGCGUCGUGUCCUGCCCAAGCCGCUGCCCCAACAAGUGCCUCGCCUACUGCAAAUACUGCAUGGCAUUCUGCGUGUGUGAUCUCGUCCCGGGGAGCUCGUGCGGAGACCCCCGCUUCACCGGCGGGGACGGCAACACCUUCUACUUCCACGGCAAGAAGGACCAGGAUUUUUGCAUCCUCUCCGACGAGGCCCUCCACAUCAACGCCCACUUCAUCGGCAACCACAACCCCGCCAUAAGGCGCAACUUCACGUGGAUCCAGGCCAUCGGCGUCAGCUUCGGCCAGCACCGCCUCUACGUCGGCGCUCGCAAGGCCGCCAUCUGGGACGAGGAGGAGGACCACAUCCACAUCAUGUUGGACGGCAAGGCCGUCGAUGUGGAGACCGUCAAGAACACCCGGUGGGUCUCCAAGGCCUUGCCCUCCUUGUCCGUCACGCGCAUCGACACGGUGAAUGCCGUCAUGGUGGAGCUCGACGGCGUGUUCGGCAUCUCCGUCAACGCGGUGCCGAUCACCGAGGAGGACUCCAGGAUCCACAACUACGGCAAGACCGGGAGCGACAGCCUCGUGCACCUUGACCUCGGCUUCAAGUUCCAUUCCCUCACCAAGAGCGUCCACGGCGUGCUCGGCCAGACCUACCAGCCGGAGUAUGUCAGCAAGGUAGACAUCAGCGCCAAGAUGCCUAUCAUGGGCGGCGCACCGAAAUACCUAUCCUCCAGUCUUUUCUCCACGGAUUGCGCCGUCUCCAAGUUCCGCAGCAACAACGUCGCCGGGAGUGUCAUCACCUUUGCCUCGUAA